rnacentral:rRNA from 1 species
UACGAAGGGGGCUAGCGUUGUUCGGAAUUACUGGGCGUAAAGCGUGCGCAGGCGGCUUCUCAAGUCAGGGGUGAAAGCCCAGAGCUCAACUCUGGAAUUGCCUUUGAGACUGAGUGGCUUGAGUACGGGAGAGGUGAGUGGAAUUCCCAGUGUAGAGGUGAAAUUCGUAGAUAUUGGGAAGAACACCGGUGGCGAAGGCGGCUCACUGGCCCGUAACUGACGCUCAUGCCCGACAGCGUGGGGAUCAAACAGG